UACGUAGGGUGCGAGCGUUGUCCGGAAUUAUUGGGCGUAAAGAGCUCGUAGGCGGCCUGUCGCGUCGGAUGUGAAAGCCCGGGGCUUAACCCCGGGUCUGCAUUCGAUACGGGCAGGCUAGAGUGUGGUAGGGGAGAUCGGAAUUCCUGGUGUAGCGGUGAAAUGCGCAGAUAUCAGGAGGAACACCGGUGGCGAAGGCGGAUCUCUGGGCCAUUACUGACGCUGAGGAGCGAAAGCUAGGGGAGCAAACAGG
rnacentral:rRNA from 1 species